ACUAUCUUGCCAGAAGGGUGCUGUACACUACAGUUUUUAAACUGCAACAUUAACACCCCUCCUUCAGAGUGGAGGCACUGUACUUCCCAUCUCCAGGACUCAAGUCCGACCUGCCGGUUUCCCUGAACCCCUUCAUAAAUGUUACUUUGCUCACACUCCAACAGCACGUCAAGUAUUAAAAACUAUUUGUCUCCAUUCACUCCUAUCAAACACGCUCAUGCAUGCCAGCUGGAAGUCCAAGCCCCUCGCACACAAAACCUCCUUUACCUCCUCCCUCCAACUUUUCCUAGGCCGACCCCUACCCCUCCUUCCACUACAGACUGAUGCACUCUUGAAGUCAUUCUGUUUCGCUCCAUUCUCUCCACAUGUCCGAACCACCUCAACAACCUUUCCUCUGCCCUCUGGACAACAGUUUUGGUAAUCCCGCACCACCUCCUAACUUCCAAACUUCAAAUUCUCUGCAUUAGAUUCACAACACACAUUGCCCUCAGACAUGACAUCUCCACUGCCUCCAGCCUUUCCUCGCUGCAACAUUCAUCACCCAUGCUUCACACCCAUAUAAGAGCGUUGGUAAUACUAUUCUCUCAUACAUUCCCCUCUUUGCCUCCAAGGACAAAGUUCUUUGUCUCCACAGACUCCUAAGUGCACCACUCACCCUUUUCCCCUCAUCAAUUCUAUGAUUCACCUCAUCUUUCAUAGACCCAUCCGCUGACAUGUCCACUCCCAAAUAUCUUGAAUACAUUCACCUCCUCCAUACUCCCUCCAAUCUGAUAUCCAAUCUUUCAUCACCUAAUCUUUUUGUUAUCCUUAUAACCUUACUCUUUCCUGUAUUCACUUUUAAUUUUCUUUUGCCCACCCUCCUAAAUUCAUCCACCAAUCUCUGCAACUUCUCUUCAGAAUCUCCCAAGAGUAGUGUCAUCAGCAAAGAGCAACUGUGACAACUCCCACUGUGUGAUUCUUUAUCUUUUAACUGCUCACCUCUUGCCAAGACCCUCGUAUUUACUUCUCUUACAACCCAUCUAUAAAUAUAUUAAACAACCAUGGUGACAUCACACAUCCUUGUCUAAGGCCUACUUUUACUGGGAAAUAAUUUCCCUCUUUCCUACAUACUCUAACUUGAGCCUCACUAUCCUCGUAAAAACUCUUCACUGCUUUCAUUAACCUACCUCCUACACCAUGCACCUGCAACAUCUGCCACAUUGCCCCCCUAUCCACCCUGUCGUACGCCUUUCCCAAAUCCAUAAAUGCCACAAAGACCUCUUUAGCCUUAUCUAAAUACUGUUCACUUGUAUGUUUCACUGUAAACACCUGGUCCACACACCCCCUACCUUUCCUAAAGCCUCCUUGUUCAUCUGCUAUCCUAUUCUCCAUCUUACUCUUAAUUCUUUCAAUAAUAACUCUACCAUACACUUUACCAGGUAUACUCAACAGACUUAUCCCCCUAUAAUUUUUGCACUCUUUUGUCCCCUUUGCCUUUAUACAAAGGAACUAUGCAUGCUCUCUGCCAAUCCCUAGGUACCUUACCCUCUUCCAUACAUUUAUUAAAUAAUUGCUCCAACCACUCCAAAACUAUAUUCCCACCUGCUUUUAACAUUUCUAUCUUUAUCCCAUCAAUCCCAGCUGCCUUACCCCCUUUCAUUUUACCUACUGCCUCACGAACUUCUCCCACACUCAAAACUGGCUCUUCCUCACUCCUACAAGAUGUUAUUCCUCCUUGCCCUAUACACGAAAUCACAGCUUCCCUAUCUUCAACAUUUAACAAUUCCUCAAAAUAUUCCCUCCAUCUUCCCAAUACCUCUAACUCUCCAUUUAAUAACUCCCCUCUCCUAUUUUUAACUGACAAAUCCAUUUGUUCUCUAGGCUUCCUUAACUUGUUAAUCUCACUCCAAAACUUUCUCUUAUUUUCAACAAAAUUUGUUGAUAACAUCUCACCCACUCUCUCAUUUGCUCUCUUUUUACAUAGCUUCACCACUCUUAACCUCUGUCUUUUUCUCCAUAUACUCUUUCCUCCUUGCAUCACUUCUACUUUGUAAAAACUUUUCAUAUGAUAACUUUUUCUCCCUUACUACUCUUUACAUCAUUCCACCAAUCGCUCCUCUUCCCUCCUGCACCCACUUUCCUGUAACCACAAACUUCUGCUGAACACUCUUAACACUACAUUUUUAAACCUACCCCAUACCUCUUCGACCCCAUUGUCUAUGCUCUCAUUAGCCCAUCUAUCCUCCAAUAGCUGUUUAUAUCUUACCCUAACUGCCUCCUCUUUUAGUUUAUAAACCUUCACCUCUCUCUUCCCUGACGCUUCUAUUCUCCUUGUAUCCCAUCUACCUUUUACUCUGUGUAGCUACAACUAGAAAGUGAUCUGAUAUAUCUAUGGCCCCUCUCCAGGUAAACAUGUACAUCCUGAAGUCUACUCAACAGUCUUUUAUCUACCAAUACAUAAUCCAACAAACUACUGUCAUUUCGCCCUACAUCAUAUCUUGUAUACUUAUUUAUGCUCUUUUUCUUAAAAUAUGUAUUACCUAUAACUAAACCCCUUUCUAUACAAAGUUCAAUCAAAGGGCUCCCAUUAUCCUUUACACCUGGCACCCCAAACUUACCUACCACACCCUCUAAAAGUUUCUCCUUCUUUAGCAUUCAGGUCCCCUGCCACAAUUACUCUCAUUUUUUCAAAGGCUCCUAUACAUUCACUUAACAUCUCCCAAAAUCUCUCUCUCUCCUCUGCAUUCCUCUCUUCUCCAGGUGCAUACACACUUAUUAUGACCCACUUUUUCGCAUCCAACCUUUACUUUCAUCCACAUAAUUCUUGAACUUACACAUUCAUAUUCUCUUUUCUCCUUCCAUAACUGAUCCUUCAACAUUACUGCUACCCCUUCCUUUGCUCUAACUCUCUGAUACUCCAGAUUUAAUCCCAUUUAUUUCCCCCCACCGAAACUCCCCUACCCCCUUCAGCUUUUUCGCUUAGGGCCAGGACAUCGAACUUCUUUCCAUUCGUAACAUCAGCAAUCAUCUGUUUCUUGUCAUCCGCACUACAUCCAUGCACAUUCAAGCAUCCUAAUUUUAUAAAGUUUUUCUUCUUUUUUAGUAAAUGUCUACAGGAGAAGGGGUUAAUAGCCCAUUGCUCCCGACAUUUUAGUCGCCUCAUACGACACGCAUGGCCUACGGAGGAAAGAUUCUUUUCCACUUCCCCAUGGACAAUAGAAGAAAUAAAAAAGAACAAGAGCUAUAUAGAAAAAGAAGAAAAACCUAGAUGUAUGUAUAUAUAUAUAUGCAUGUGCAAGUCUGUGAAGUGUGACCAAAGUGAAAGUAGGAGUAGCAAGAUAUCCCUGUUAUCUAGCAUGUUUAUGAGACAGAAAAAUAAACCAGCAAUCCGACCAUCGUGCAAAACAGUUACAGGUUUCUGUUUCACAGUCAUCUGGCAGGACGGUAGUACUUCCCUGGGUGGUUGCUGUCUACCAACCUAUUACCUAAUUAUGAUGUAUUAGAAUCCAACUCUUAAGCCUUCAAGCAGUAAGGUUGUACUGUGGAAAAAAAAAAUCUGAAGCUAUAUCCUUUAUGCUAUUUCAUUUUGGUUUAGUUUAUAUAAUAAUUUGCUUAAAAAUAUAUUCCAGGAGGUGGCUGAAAUAAGAUGUUGGAAGCAAAAUUACAAGUAUAAGCCAAGUCUCCAUGUUCAUUCUGUGCAGGAGGAGUUGACUGAAAAGUCAAAAUGUUUGAUUGAUAAUAAAUAAAAUUUUAAGUAUGAACAUUGUCUUCAUAUUCAGUCUAUGCUGGUAAUCUUCUCUGGAAGUAGUGACAUGCAGGAUUCACACUGCCAGCAGUGGAAAGGCCAUACCAGACUGGGCGAAAUACUGGUGUGAAAUUGCUCGGUGACAGUUGGUACUGUUGGUAUGUUGCUGCUGCUUUGAGUGGAAUGUAAAGCUGUAUAUCAUUCACUGAACAAUGUAUGGAGUGAACUACAGCAUAUCUUUGCAUCUGAAAUUUGACCUCAUGUGCUGAGUGAUGUUAGAGGCUUUGCAAUGAAAUCUACAUAUAUAUUAGAAGGAGGGGUUUCCUGAAAGAUACGAUGUUGGGAGUAAAAUUAAAAGUAUAAAUAUCAUCAUGUUCGGUCUCUGAAGGUAUUCUCUCUGGAAGUAGCGUAAUACUAUGCAGGAUUAACACAACCAGAAAUGUGUACAAUAUCAAACCUUCUAUGAUGGAUAUAAGGAGUAGUUGGCUGGAAAGAAAAUGGGAGCAAAAUUAAAAGUAUAAUUAUCUUCAUGUUCUUCUCUGGAAGUAAUGCAGGAUCCACACGUACAGGUAAGGAAAACGUGCAUAUUGUUAUCCAUUACAUAUAAUUUAGUAUACUGUUAUAAUGUUUAUAUACUUUUGGU